rnacentral:rRNA from 1 species
CCUACGGGAGGCAGCAGUGAGGAAUAUUGGACAAUGGGCGCAAGCCUGAUCCAGCCAUGCCGCGUGCAGGAAGACGCAUCUAUGGUGUGUAAACUGCUUUUGUACGGGAAGAAACACUCCCUCGUGAGGGAGCUUGACGGUACCGUAAGAAUAAGGAUCGGCUAACUCCGUGCCAGCAGCCGCGGUAAUACGGAGGAUCCAAGCGUUAUCCGGAAUCAUUGGGUUUAAAGGGUCCGUAGGCGGUUUAAUAAGUCAGUGGUGAAAGCCCAUCGCUCAACGAUGGAACGGCCAUUGAUACUGUUAGACUUGAAUUACUAGGAAGUAACUAGAAUAUGUAGUGUAGCGGUGAAAUGCUUAGAUAUUACAUGGAAUACCAAUUGCGAAGGCAGGUUACUACUAGUGGAUUGACGCUGAUGGACGAAAGCGUGGGGAGCGAACAGGAUUAGAUACCCUGGUAGUCCACGCCGUAAACGAUGGAUACUAGCUGUUGGGCGCAAGUUCAGUGGCUAAGCGAAAGUGAUAAGUAUCCCACCUGGGGAGUACGUUCGCAAGAAUUGAAACUUNAAAGGAAUUGACGG